UUUAAAGACAACCUUAGGUUCAUCGACGAACAAGAAGAGUAACCGUUAUGCUGCAAGUGUCGGUGAAGAAGGUGCUGUAACCCAAGUCAAACACCAAGGAACUUGCGGUAACUUUCUACUCUAAUACUAUGUCUUUACUCUUUAAGCUGUUGCCCAACUCAUUCACUUUAUAGUUUUUUUGCUACUAGUUAAUUUGAAUUCAUUGUGGUUCUUAACUCAUAAAAAGUAUAUAGUUUUCUUUAAAACUUAUUAUGGUAAUUUUUUUUUAAUUAACGAUGGAAAGCUUAAAAAUUAAUUGUUAAAUUUAUUACUAAGUAUAUUAAAAAGACUAAUAUUGUAAAAUUUAAAAAAUUAAAUGAACAAUAUAAAUAUUUUUUAAGAACUAUAAAAUAAGAUAAGAUACUAAAAAAAUAUUAAAUCUUAUUGAAAUAUGUGUCAUAUAUUGAAUAAGAUAAGACAAUAAAAGAAUAUUAAAUCUUAUUAAAUUAUAUGUGUCAUAUAUCUCAAAUAACUAAUUAUUCUUAUUUAUAGAACAGAUCUAAUUAUAAUAUUUUUCAAAUUGUUGUCUAGUAAUAGAAAGAGGCAUGAGUAUUUAAUAUUAAGAUCUAAUUCAUCUAUACUACUCUUGAAAUAAAUGACAUUAUCAACUAAAACUAAUUGUCGGAUCAAUGUUCAUUUAGAAUAUUUAAUUUUUAUAGUAAUCGCACAUUUAAUUGACUAUUUCUUUUAAUAUGAAAAAAGAAAUACAUUAACUUUUCAAAAACUUAUCUUCACGAACCUAAGUAACAUUGUCCUAAAAUUGUCUUCCGGAAAUACUCCUUUAACUUAUGAAAAUUUUCCAUUAGGAAUUAAAUUGAACUUAUUUAGAGGCCUUAUUUUUUCAGGCCAUGUGCAAGGAUUUGGAUUGUCGGCUGUCACAAAACCACACGAAAGUGGCCAAGUGUAAUUGACCGUCCGAUCAAGAUUGAAUGGUUCUUAUUUAAAGCUGAUAAUUUUGAUAAAAAGAAAUCUGUUUUUUUCCAACCAUGCGAUCGAAAUCAAACGAUCAAUAAUAUUUUGACACGUGAAUGCGGACAAUUUUCGAUUGAAUGGUGUCUUUCAGUUUAAUAAGAAAUUAUGAGUUUGAAUUUAAUCUUGAAUAUGCAGAAGUUUUUAAUUUUUUGAAGGAGACUUUACUAUCUAUUAUGAUCCAGUAAGAUUAGAGGAAUUAAUCUCUAAAAUUACGCGCAGAAAAUAUUCGAUUUAUAAAAAUAAAAAAAUCUAGAUAAAAUAUAAAAUAAAUAAAGUAAUUAAUUAAAUUAUACGUAGUUUAAAAAUUAAUAUUUUUACAAAUUAAAUAAAAUUAUUAAAUAAUUUAAUUUGUUUUUAAACUAAUACAAUUCAAAUAAAAGUAUUGCUAAAAAAGUUGUACAAAGGGAUCAUUCUAGACACAAUCUUUUUAAAAGAUUCAUUUUAAAGUAAAAAACAAAUCGCAAAUAAAUUUGUAGGUAAUAACACAAUAAAUAAAAUAAGCAUCGGAUAAAUUCAAAUCCAUAUGUUAAAAAUAUUUUAAAAAUUAAAUUAUUAAAUUUGUGUUUUAAAUUAUUAAAAAAUCUUAUUUUUAUAAUUAUUUUUAAUAAACAUAUUUUGGAUAAUCUUGAAGUGGGUCAAGAGAGAUCACAAAUGCAAUGAGAUUUAGUGUUGUUUGUGAGUCUCUUUUUUUUGUCUCUCCCUUUUCUUCCUUGAUGGGAAGCCUUUCUAUGAGGCAAUCAACCAACAUCAUGACUCUAAUUUGAUAGGGUUUCCUAAUAGUUUAAAAUUUCUUUCCAUAAAAUCCCAACUUUCUUUGUUUCUUUGCUCAUCAUUCUCGCCCUUGCUCCCUUUUCCUCAAGACUGUCGACCAACUUUUUUACGCCUUCUUCCAUUCACUUUGCAAGCAUGAAUCUCUGGUGUUUAUUUCCUUUCCUUAAUACUCUUACUUAAUUCUUUUGUCAUGGUUAUAAUACGCAAGUAUAACGAUUCGAGGAAUGUACUGAUUCCCUUCACUGCUUGAGAUAGAAGAGAAUUGUGGGAUGCACGCAUGAAAGAAUGUGAGGGUCAUCUAGGACAAACAGAGUUUGAUCAUAUCCUUAAGGAAGUUUAUGGUGACAUUCCUUGUAGUGAAACUGAUUCAGACUAUUUGUCAUCAGUUCUAUGGACGUUUUGAUAGAGAUGACAGGGUCUCUUAUUGGCAAAUAAGUUUAAAGCUACGAUCACAGCAUAAUCGAUGAGCGACAUUUCAUUACUCCGAUCUAACAAACAUAUUUCUUCCAUCGAGAAUGAAGAAGAUGUCAUACUGGAACCUUGCGUGGUUGGUGAAAGAGUUUGCAUCACUCGACAAGGGGGGUGUCAGACGAAUAUUUUUAUUUUUACUAAGGGGUAAUUGAGGAUUUUAAGAUCCGUAUCCCCUUUACUGAUUUUGAAUUUGAUCUUCUCAAAAGCAUAAAUAUCACUCAUUCUCAUUUACGCUUAAAUGGUUGAGGCUUCGUUAAAGCUUUUGAACUCGUUUGUGAGGCAGUGAGCAUAAUCCCUACUUUAGGUUUGUUUUUUUAUUUCUUUGAGCUGAAAGGGACGGACAAAGGAGGUUGGGUUUCCCUUAGUGGAAUUCCAGGAAAACGUUUCCUCUAGGCUUAUACUACCAACUAGAAAGGUUUCAAGGAUAAGUUUCUUCGGAUAAAAAGUGGAAAAAAUGGUGCCCCCAAGUUAUGUGUGUGUUGGACGCGGACUAUCACUUCACGAUUUACUGGAUGAAUAACCCGUUAUCGGUGUCCGGCUUUGACUAUGACAAGUUAAAUGCUUUAGAUAUCCGAGCUUUAGCCAUUCUAGAUGCCUUCCGAGUAAUAAAAGUCGAGUACUUACUAAACAUGCCUGAUGAUCCAUAACAAAUCUCUAACUUAUUGAGUAAUGCUUAUAUGUAUCUUAUUAUACUCUAGCGAUCUCUUUAUUUCCCUUUUCUGAACUUAUUUUCUCAUUCUUUUUCAACUGAAAUAAUGAGCUUUAAACUAAAGGAACAGAAGAAGUUAAUGACUAAAGUGAGGGCUAGAUGUAGAGAACAAUCUUCUUUUAAGAUCGACCUGUCUAGUAUCCAAACUCGGGCCCUUAAAAGAAAGAAGGCAGGAACAAUUGGGAAAGGAGCCCCAGGCGUUACAGAGCCCUAAGAUGACUUCCUUCCUCCUCCUGGAGAUUCGAAAUCGGGCUCACCUAAGAAAAUGAAGAUUUUGAUGGGGGAUCCUAUAAGUCAGCCCGACUUGGCAGUCACCACCUUGAUGCAAGAUUCGAGUGGUAACCAUAAAGCCAGCCCAUAAACUAAAUUUAAGAUUUGAUCCAAUAGCUUUAAUGGAUUUAAGUUCCUUUACUACCAUCUGAAUGCGAUAGAGGAUGUUGAGAAGGUGAAGACUAUUAGGGCUCAACAACUGACCAAAAAACAUUGGUGCCUACUUUAUGAGGUGUGCUGUCAUGACUCGUGGAUUGUUUGAAGUCGGUGAUACUUAUGAGAAAAAUGAAUUCCAUAUCACAAAGAAGAUUACUCAAUCGAAGGAUAACUUGAAGGUCCAGACUGAUAACAUGGAAGAUCUAAACAAACAACUGUUGGAAAUGAAGAAACAAAAAGAAGAUGUUUGGAGCUUGAAACUACCUCGGCCGAUUUGAACCAGGAUGUUGAAAAAACUCGAGAGUUCAACGAGACACUGAAGAAAUCUUUUCAAGAUGCCCAAAUAGACCUUCUUUCAGUCAGCGAUAAGGCUUUUGAGAGGGCUAAAGCCCAAGCGCUAUGCCAUAAACCUGACCUCAAUGUGUCUGAGAUGGAUUACUUCAAGACUGUGGUGGAUGGCCAACUUGUAGAUAUGAAGGAAGCUUCUCCUGAAGCCGAGGCUUCUAAGGAUGUGACAAUCGAUGAUUUGUCCCUUGAUGUUCAAGAGAAGGAGCAGCACGAUGUUUAAGCUUUGUUUAUUUAUAUUGUUGGUCGUCUAUGGUGAUGUGCUUUUUGUAAUGUUUGGGUAAUUCCUUUUUUCUUCCAAGUACAAUGUUUUAAGACCUUCUAAGACCUUUUUAAAAUUAGCUUCAAUGAGUUUUGCUUAAGUACAACGUUAAUCCAUGAUUUGUGUAUAUAGCCCCUGGUGUAUCUUGAAUUAUACGAGUUUAUAUCUUAAUGAUAUGCUCCGGGACCUGCGUCUGAUAUUGGUCACCUAACUCAUUAAUUUUAAAAGAAUUGAUCAAAUUGUUGUUAUCAUUGAGCCUAAUAGGUUAUAAACGUAGAGAAGUUUGAGAGUCCUAAUAGGAUCUCGACCAGUUGCGUCCCGUUUUAACUGCGCCAAUACUUGGCCUUAUUAGCACGUGUGGGUUUAUUUUGUGACCAUGUUAGUCCUUUUAUGUAACCCUAAUGUGCUUUUAUUUCUUUAAUAGCAAUUGAUUUGUUCGAAUGGAAAGUAAAUAGAAAGGCCGACCUCAAACAGUUCAUGGCUUACCUUUAGUUGAGGUUUAUGCCUUAUAGAUUUAAAGCCCUAGUGAUCAGAGCAUUACUGAUUGAUGGUCUUGUCGUUUUAAACAUAGACCGGCCAACCACUAGUUGAUCGUGGUAGACAUCAGGGUUUGGCCAUGAAUAAGUUAACCAAACCGCUUAAGGUCAGAGGCUUGUUAAAUUGAUUAGGAUGCCAAAUGUAUAUUAACUUAGGCUUUUAUUUAAGGCUAGAGGUUACAAUUAACAUAACCAGGUUAGAGGUUCUUAUUUAUUUGACCAAUUUGCCAGAGAUUCCUAUUUACUUGGACUUUUAUUUGGUCAGAGGUUUUUAUUAACAUAAUCCGGUUAGAGGUUCUUAUUUACUUGACCGAUUUGCCAGAGGUUCCUAUUUACUUGGAAAUUUAUUUGGUCAGAGGUUUUUAUUAACAUAACUUAGUCAGAGGUUCUUAUUUACUUAACUGAUUCUCCAUAGGUUCCUAUUUACUUGGACUUUUAUUUGGUCAGAGGUUUUUAUUAACAUAACCCGGCUAGAGGUUCUUAUUUACUUGGCCCAUUUGCCAGAGGUACCUAUUUACUUGGACUUUUAUUUGGUCAUAGGUUUUUAUCAACAUAACCUGGUCAGAGGUUCUUAUUUACUUGACCAAUUUGGUAGCCGGUGAUAUCGGGCAUGCUUAUUUUUCCUAGGACUAGCUUGACUUGGUUACUGUAAAAACUUGAAAGAUUAACACAUAUAAAUAUGAAGUGGGGGUGCCUCAUUAAAAACCCUUGUCCUUUCAAGGGAAAAGAGUGUUACCCAUCAUUUUUAUUUAAAUAAGAACAUUACAUAUCGUUAAAUAUAAUAAAAUCUUAGGCUGGCUACAUUCCAAGUCCUUGGUACUCCCACUCCUUCCAAACUCUCAAGCUUAUAAGCACCAUUAUCCAACUUAUGCAGUAAGGUCAUUCCCAGUUUUGGCCGAGAUUUCCUUUCUUCUUUGCAUCUGUAACUUUUUUCAAAACUAAGUCACCCUCUUGAAAGCUUCUCGGACGGGCUCUAGUAUUGAACCUCAUGGUCGAUCUUUGCUUUGCUACCACUUCUCGAACAUGAGACAGUCUUUUGAUUUCUUCUAUGAGGUCGGUCGAGUUAUUUAGUCCCUCCUUGUUAAGAUUGUUCUCAAAAUUUAAUCGACGUCGGGUUAGAGAGUUAAUUUCUACUAGUAUCAUUACAUCGUCCAUGUACACCAUUUGAAAUGGUGGUCUUCUUAGUGGUCGAAUAAUGAGUAGUAUAAUAGGACCAUAAGAUCUCGUGCAAAUACUCAUACCAAAGCCAAUUCGCUUCAUCUAGAUUUUUCUUCAUUCCUGAUAAGAUAAUCCUAUUUGUUGCUUCUAGUUGGCCAUUAUCCUGAGGGUGCUCAACCGAAAUAAACCAGUUUUAUAUGCUGAGGUGCCUGCAAAAUUCUACAACAGAUGAGCUCGCAAGUUACGUGCCAUUAUAGGAUACAAUGAUCCCUGGAAGGCCAAAAUGGCAUAUGAUAUUUCUCCAAUAAAAACAUCUUACCCUCUCCGAUGUGAUUUGGGAUACGGCCUCAGCUUCCGCCCACUUGGUGAAAUAAUCCACUGCAAUUAUAAGAAGUUUCAGUUGCCCGGUAACUAGAGAAAAAGGGAUGAGAGUAUCCGAUCCCCACUAAUAAAAAGGCCAAGGAGAAAUUACUAACUGUAACAACUCCACCUGAUAGUGUAUGAAGGGCGUAUAGAUCUGGCAUUUCUCAUAAUGAUUUACGAACUAUGCACAGUCUUGUAGCAUACUCAACCAGUAGUAUUCGACCCUGAGUAUUUUUCCAGAUAAAGCUCUUCCCCCAAUAUGACUUUCAUACACUCCUUCCUGCACUUAUUUCAUUAUAGGUCCUACUUCUUCUUCAGCCACACAUCUAAACAUCGGAGAGGAUCUACCCAUUUUGUAGAGUUGUUCGGCUACCAUGAGGUAUCGAGAAGACAUCCUCUUAAUAUGUCAGGCUUUAAUCUCUUCAUGUAGCAACUUUUUUUUAGUCAAAUAUUGAAUGAUGGGUGUCAUUCAACCCUGUAUGUUUUCUAAUACCAUGAUUUCCUCUAUUUUCGUGCUUGGUGCUUCUAACUUUUCCUGGAUCACCGUUAUAUUUAGCUCGGGGCCUUUAGUGAUGGCUAGACGGGCUAGUAGAUCGACUCUGACAUUUUCUUCUUGAGGAAUAUGCGAUACUUCAAAUUUUAUGAACCACUUGGCCAAUUUCAGAGCUCGUUGUAGAUACUUGAGUAAUAGCGGACCCUUCGUAUGGUAGACUCCUUUGGAAUGGGUGAACUCAACUCUAUUAGAAAAUCCGAUAGUAUUUGUGAUUCGAUGCUAGUUCUCAGUACGAAUGUGAUGUCGUAAUCAAAAAAAUCUAUGGCUCAGGCCACCAUGAUACCUACCAAGUCCAGAUUUUUCAGAAUUCGUUUUAUGGGAUAAUUCGUCUUGACAAUAAUAGGGUGGCCCUAAAAAUAGUGUAUAAGUUUUCUGGCGGUAAUCACUACUACCAGAGCUUGCAGUUCGAUCUUUUGAUAACAAAUCUCUGCUCCUUUGAGAACCUUCCUGACAAAAUAGAUCGGCCUUUCAUGUUUAUCACUAUCUUGAACCAAUACUGAAUUGAUAGCUUUGUCUGAGACUGCUAAAUAUAAUGUAAAAGGUGAAUUUUCCUUCAGACAGACCAAGAUCGGGGGGUAGACAAGAAUUGUUUUAAUUCUACAAAUGCCUUCUCACAUUCUUCCAUCCACUAAAUUUUUUCCAACUUCUUGAUAGAGGUGAAAAUGUGUAUGGAUUUGUCACUUGUGCAAGGUAGAAAUCGGGAUAGGGCGACCAACCUCCUAGUUAGCUGCUGAACUUCCCUUAUUGACGUUGGGCUUCUCAUAUUGAUGAUUGCUUGACACUUUUCCGAAUUCGCUUCUAUUCCCUGGUGUCUCAGCAUGAAACCCAUAAAAUUUCCAGCUUGUACCCUAAACGUGCACUUUUUGGGCUUAGCCUCGUGUCAAACUUUCUUAUUGACUCAAAUGUCUCUUCUAGGUCCUUUACGUCAUCCUUCUCCUCUAGGGUUUUUACCAACAUGUCAUUGAUGUAUACCUAUAAGUUCAUCCAUAUAUAUGAUGAGAAUACCAUAUCUAUUAGUUUUUAAUAAGUAACACCUGAGUUUUUAAGACCGAAUGACAUUACUUCAUAAUAGUAGUUAUUUAUGUCGGUCAUGAAUAUCAUUUUGGGAGCAUCCACUAGGUUCAUUCGAAUUUGGUUGUAGCUUGAAUAGGCAUCCAUGAAGCUGAGCAUACAGAACCCGGAUGCCUCAUCGAUGAGUUUAUCAAUGGGUUGUAAUGGAUAAGGGUCCUUUCGACAGACCUUGUUGAGGUCGGUGAAAUCUAUCCACAUGCACCAUUUUCUAGAUUUCUUCUUUACCAUGACGACAUUGGACAUCCAGGUGUGAUAUUUUAUUUCCCGGAUAAACCCGACCUUUAAGAGGUUAUCUACCUACUUUGUGACAGAUUUUCUCUUCUCUUCCCCAUUUUUCCACUUCCUCUGCACUAAGACCUUCAUGACGGAUCAAGAGAGAGCUGAUGGCACAUGAUAUUUGGGUCGAUUUAGGGCAUGUCCGAGGGUUUCCAAGAGAAGAGGCAGGAGUUGCCUCUCAGUACUUUAAUGAUGUUUUUCUCCUUUUGCUGACAUAAUACUAAACUUAUCUACGUGAUUUGAAAAUCCUCAACACCGAUCUGCACCAUUUUUAAUUCCCCAAUAAAGGUCAAGCUUUCAUCUGUCGGGUCCUCCCAAGGGUCGAGGUCAACCAGGUUCACCUUUAAAAUAUUUUCAGUAGGCUGGUCCUGUUUGGUCUUUGUUUUUAGUUUUAGGCUAUCCUUAUAGAAUUUCAUGGCCAAUCCUUGAUCACCUUUAUUUACUCCUACACGUCCAUCGUUCAAAGGGUACUUCAUGGUUAGAUAAAAAGUGGAUAUUGUAGCCUCAAGAGUAGUGAACGUCAGUCUUCCGAUGAUGAUGUUGUACGGUGAGGAUUCAUUCACUAUAAUAUAUCUCACUUUGAUUCCUUUGGCAUGGUCCCCGCUUACAAAGACCGUCAUGAUAGGCAGAAGCCUUAGUACCUAUACAUGUUCUCCAAAGAAACCGACUUUGAUGCCUUUGAAAGGUAGCAGCUCGGAAGUAUCCAUGUUCAUGCCUUUGAAAUCAUCCCAAUACAAUAUAUCGGCAGAACUUCCUGGAUCGAUCAACACUCGUUUGACGCUCCAAUCAUGAAUUUGUACUUUUAUGACCAUUGGGUCACUUUCAUAUGCUAGCACAUCUUCCAAGUCCCGUCUUGAAAAUCCGACAAUGAUAGGCCUUUCUUCUUUUCCUGAAAAUAUGUUAUGUGAUACAUGCAUUAAUGAUAGAGCAUAUCUCUUUUUGGACGAGCUUGUUUCUCCUCCGCCAGUAAACCCUCCCGAAAUGGUGUUGAGUGUAAGGCGUGCUACCCGAGUUUCAGGCACCUCCUCAGUAAUUUUUUCCUUCUUCGCAGAGAGGUUUUCCGAGUUUUGCUCUCUUUGAGAAUGACUUCUUUUUCUUGUUGCUCCUUCGACAUCUUUCAUGUAUGACAACAACCGGCCCCUUUGGAUCAAGAUCUCUAUUUCCCCUUUUAACUGAUGAUAAUCUUCAGUAUGAUAGCCUCUCAUACGAUGAUAAGCAUACCAUGCAUCCUCGUCUUUUCCCAGUACUUCGUUGACCCUCUUAGGACAUUUGGGUUCUAGUAAUAGUUUGAGAUGAUGCAUUUCUCAUAGGAUAUCAGUGCGCUUUGCAUUGAGCGGGGUAAAGUUCUCGGUGAAGCUAUCGUAUGGCCUAUAGGAAGGCUUGGUCAUCGACAUGUCCCUCGACCCAUGCUUUUAAUGUUCUUUCUUAGACUCGUAUCCGUCAUGCUUAGGCUAUAUCUUCUCUUUAGCAUCUCGGGAUCUCUUCUCUAUGUUUCUUCCUUCGCCCUUGAUAUAACAUUUCACUCUAUUCAUUACUUCAUCAAUGUUGGUGGCCGGUUUUUAUGCCAAAGAUUCAUUGAAAUGCCCCGCCUUCAGGCUGUUCUGGAAGGCUCCCACAAACAUAUCCUGAUUCGGAUGACAAACCUUUAUUGUUUCUUCAUUAAAUCGCGCCAUAUAUUCACAGAGGAAUUAUGAAGGCCCUGGUAGACGUUGAACAAACUGGUGGUGGACAACGUUUUAUGCUUGCUGGGGGAGAAGUCAUGCACCAUCUUCCUGGUCAGAUCCUAGUAACCGAUGAUUGAAAAUAUAGGUAAGCUCAUAUACCAACGUAAGGCCACAUCCUUAAACGUUCCUCCCAUAUGUUUGAACUUCAAAGAGUCGAAAGUCCCGACUACCAUGAUUUGAUUUUUGAUUGAAAUUAUAUGCUCAUGUGGAUCGCUCUUGCCAUCAAAGGAUGGGAAAGACGGUGACUUGAAAUUCUCAUGGACUUGAUCGCCCCAGAUUUCUUCUGAAAGAGCCUGAGGAUUCAAGAGUUCCUCUUUUGCUUCCUCCUAUGUAACUCUUUGGGAUUGCUGAAGUGUGUGAAAACUUUCUUGCAAGGAGUCGUUCUACUGGCGCAAAUUCUCCAUGAUUGUCAAAAUUUGUGCCAUGUCUAGUGAAAUGUGAGGUUCACUCUUGCUGGGAGAUGACCCAGACAUCAUAUAGAUAACAUUUUUGUGCGGUCUGGGAGAGUUUUAUCGAGGCCUCACGGUGGAUGCCAAUUUUUUUUAUAAACACUUGUUGGAUAAUCUUCCUGAAGCGGGACAUGAGAGAUCAUAAAUGUAAUAGGAUUUAGUGUUGCUUGUCUGUCUCUCUCUUUUGUCUCCCCUUUUUCUUCCUCGAUGAGAAUCCGUUUUAUACCUAUCAUACCUCUAAGGAUCAUUUAAUAAAUGUCCCUUUGAGUCUCAUGUUUAAAUGGUGUUGAUAACGUCCACCGCCCUCAAUACUAUCAUGUAACGUCUUCCUCAUCAUUUUCUAUAACUCCCACACAACCAUGGAGCUACCUUGUAAUCGUUAUGCGUGAUCUAUACACAUCAUCUGAAAACAAGUCUCUCAUAGCCAUGCAAACCGAACUCCUACUUGUCUCAUACUCAACAACCCGGUACUUGUUAUUUUCCACAGAUACUCGGUCUUCCGACUUGCCAUGCUCGACUUUAGGAAUUCCAAGAUAUACAAUAAUAUAUUUUAAUAUUUGUAAACUAUGAUCAAUGUUAAAUAUCAAAAUAACCAUACUAUAAUAUAAUAUUUUGAACAUUAUUUAACUUUUGAAUAGUAGUAUUCAAAUAUAUACUAUAUAUAUAUAUAUAUAUAUAUAUAUAUAUAUAUAUAUAUAUAUAUAAUUAUAUAAUAUAUAUAUUAAUAUAUAUAUAUAUAUAUAUAUAUAUUAAUAAAUAAUAUAUAUAUAUAUAUAUAAUAUUAUAUAUAUAUAUAUAUAUAUAUAUAAAAAACAUCAAAAUAACAAUAAUACAAACAAAACUAAUUUAAGAUUUUGUUUCUUAAUAUUAGUCAUUUUUGUCAAAAUAAUUUAUUUCAUUUUAUAAGUCAUUUAAAUAAUUGGUUUCAAAAUAUAUGUCAUUUUAGUCAAAGUAAUUUGUUUCAAUUUACAAUAUCAUUUAAAUUGUUUUACUCAUACCAUUAAUAAGUAAUAUUUUUAUGAAGUAAAAAUUUAUAACUUAUUUUUCACAAAUCAUAACUAAAUAUAAUUAAUAUAAAAUUAUUAAAAUAACAUUAGUUUGAGACGAAUGAUACUUAUAUUUUUAAUUAUAUAGUUUAAAAAAUCAAGAGUUUAAUGGGUAUGUAGUGUAAAACAUUGUCAUCCAAUAGGAAUUCAUCAACAUAAUAUGUGAGAUUCUCGGUCAGUGUGGUAUCAGAGUGUCGAUAGAAAUAAGGGGUGCAUAUGGUAUGAAUAUAAUAAAGAGAGAGAGAGAGUAAGGGAGAAAACUACUUAAUCAUGGAAAUACCACAACCAAACACUCAAACCAUUACUACCACCUCUUCCUUAUCACUUCCUAAACUCUGUAAGAAGACUGAUAUCCACAAAAUAGAAAACAUUGUUGAGUAUUCUUAUGUUCCAGAAGAUGCUCAAAUUGUUGAAAUAGUACCUCCCAUUUUAAGUCCUUAUAAUAUCUUAAAAAAAACAAUUACCAAAUCCAUCGGAAACCUAAUCUCUACAAACCACCCUCAUAUGAAAGAGUAUGUUCAGUCAUCUCGACUAUACCAAUGUAGUCUGAGAGCUACAAACCAAGAGAAAUAUGUAGAUUUAGAGAUUCCUCAAAGUCUCAUAAAUCACUGAAAAUCAGAAGGAUACAUAACUUUACAUUUUGGAGUGGUCAUGCUCAUCCUCUCUAUCCAUGGAAUGAAAAACCAGCCUGUCUUCGACAAAUAGCUCUCCUAGAUUCGAGAUAUCUACAUUAUGAAAAUGAUUUCAUAUGGAUUGUUAUAACCAUACUUCAUGCGAAAAGUGUUGUCCUCACUAUUUUUCCAAAUUAUAAUGCAAGCCUCAACAAGAGCACUCUAUCCACAAGACUAAAAGUCAAAAUCUAAAUCACGGGAUCUGACCAAGUUCCAGAAGCCAUGUCUGCUACUCUCCAUCACCAAAUAAUUUAUCACUUACAAAAUCAUUCAAUAUAUUUCUCUCUACGCGAUGUUCUUCUAAUUCGCUGUUAGUAGUUACUAAUAGAGAAGAAGAUUUAUUCUUUAUCGUCCAUAUACCAAGAAGAAUCACAAGGGAAGAAUUAACUCGGCUAAUUCCCCUUGAAUGGAUAAUAAAUUAUGAAAAAAUUCAUCAAGAUAGAAGGCAAAUACAAUCUAAAGAGGCUACCUUCAGAAUAUCCAUUGACAAAAUUGUCAAAAUAAUUAUAAAAAAACAAACGAAGGACUGAGUUCAGUUUCUCCAAUUUUCCAAACCAUGAAGAUCUAGCUAUUUCUAAAAUAAUAUUGGUGUCUGGUUCAUGUUGUUACUAGUAAAGGAGAACCUAUCUAUACUGACAAGUUAAAUGAUAACUUUAUUUGGGACAUAGAUCCCAAUAAAUGUGACUAAGGAUGUGAAUGUUGGAUGCACGAUAAUGAUUUUGAAAGAGACGUUAUCCUCCCAAAAAAGAAAAACAAAGGGACGCGCAAACCAUAUCUUCCUCCACGAAGAAGAUAUGAUCCUGAUAACGGUUCAUGGGUUGGAAUCCAUGAGAAAAAUAAACCUAUUUCUAUUUAUGAGGAGGGUCUCAAGAUUCUUAAGAAAGAAAAAUUGUUGCCACCAGAUGAUCCUACUCUUGUCACGUGGUCACCGUCAGACUACUAUAAACCUUUGAAUCCUCCAAAAAAUGUUGAACCAAUCCCUUUCUUUAUGUACUUAACUACAACAUCGGAUUAUAGCCAAAAAAUCCUGCUCAAGAAAGGAAGAUGGAUCCAAUCACAGGCAUAACAUCCAAACCAUUCAUUCAUCCUAAUGAAGUCCAGCCCGAUGGAAAACUUAAACCUUUAACUCAAGCUGAAGAAGUUAUAAAUUGGAAAUUGGAAAAUAUAAUUUCUCAAAAUGAUAUUCUCAAUUUUUUUGACAAAAAGGUGGAUAAGAUUGCUGAGAAAAUAGACGAGACAAAUGAAUAUCUCAAGGUUUUAUCCCAAAAAAUCCAGAUACGUUACAGAAGCCUAAAAGCUCAAGUAUCUUAGUUAGAUCGUGAUUUGUGACAGAUGUUAGAAGAGAUAACUUUUGGCAAAACUUUUGACCAAAAGGAAAUAGAAAUCAGAAAACUGCAAGGCCAAGUUAAAGAGAUAUGUGAUUUCUUAAGAGCCUUUCAUGAAAGAAAGUCCAACCUUGUUGAAAACUCUUUCUUUGACCCUCCUGUUUUCCCUACAUAUUUAAAAUGAAUAGAAAAUCCUUCUCCUUUCUACCCUGCCUAUGUUUCAUCACAACCAAAUCAGGCCAAAUACAUACCUAGAGCUUACAAACCAAAAUCUGCAAGAACUACCAUUACCUCAACCUCCAAGACAAAAAGGAAGGUUGCUUGUUUCAGCGCGUCAUUCUCGGACUCUCGGGAUAUUCCUGACACACCUCCUCCAAAACUCCGGAAGGAAGAACAAAUUCAUGAUAAAGGUUUCCAAUUCAUGGAAAUCACUAGAAGUUACGAAUCUCCCCGAAAGAAUUACUCUCUUACUGAAUCAUCAGCACAAAAGGGAGAUGAGUCCUCCUCAGAUGGUAACAACAACUCUUAUCAAGAAACAUAUGCUGAUAAAACACCGAGAUCUUUUUCGUAGAAAUUAGAAAUUGAAGAUAACCGUAUCCUAAGACUCUUCAUGGAAAAUAUGAAAGACGAAGAAUACUUUUUUGAAGAAUCCCCUAAAGAAACUCUAGUCCCUGAAAUGACUAAACCAAAUGGUGAUCUUUGGUUCACUUUUGAUGAUAUACCACCUAGACACUGGAGAAAGAGACUACUCGAAUUUGGAGCUUGGCUUGACACCCAUAUGAUGAAAACAAGUGCAAAUAGCUAUAUGAUCAUUGAAUAAUUUUGUUGUAGAAUGACAGGCACGAUGAAAGAAUGGCAUCACAAUCUUGGAACUUUCAAACAAGAUGAGUUACACCCUCUAGAAACUACAACUAAUAUUUGUGUUGUGCUUCACCACGAAUUUAUCAGUGAUAUGGAGAUAUUUGAUAGAAAAAAUAGACAUGAAUUCUUUGAGAUAAAAUGUUGUUCCCCAAAACAAAGAACCUCGACAAACACUAUCAUAGAAUGACGCAUAGGUAUUAUCUCCUCAACGGGUACAAUGAUCCUAGUCUGAAGAAUACCUAUGUUUCCUCUCUACCACAAGAACUCCAACCAGAAAUUCGUAGGAUGUUAGAAGCAACUCAAAAGGAUAAAACCACGAGUCUUGGCCAGAUUCAUCAGGUGACAUUGGAAGGAGUUGAAAAGCUUUGCAGUUUUCAUCAUCAAUUUUCAGAAGUUAUAAAACUAAAGUUAGAUUCCACCAAGGUGUGUAAGAAGCCUUACUUGGAGAUUAAGUGUAAAGACAAAAGGUGUAGUUGUGCAAAAAAAAAAGAUCCAUCAUCAUCAAAAAUACACAAAACCUCAUAUGACCUUCAAGGAAAAGAAAAAGAAGUCUAUGAAGUUCUUUAAAAGAAAACCUUUCAGAGGAAAGGGGAAAAAUCAUAGAUGCUUUAUUUGUGGGGAAAAAAGGAAUUUGUCUAAAGAGUGUCCUAAUAAUACCUACAAAACCACAAAGUUGAUCAACUUUCUUCAACCUCUAGAAGGAGACUUAUAAUCCUUAUAUUCUAAACAAAGCUCUGUUGAUGAAGAGACAAUUUUUGCCCUUCAAAACUCUUUGUAUGAUGAAGCAUCAUUUUUGGAGUCAGAAGAUGACAUAUAUUUCACUGUUUACUCCUUCAAUGAAAUAGGAUGUUCUCUUUAUACUCCACCUUUCCAUUGUGUUGAAUCUCAUGUCCUUGCAACAAAGUUUUCCCGUCCGAAGAAAGUUAUAACUUAUAUGGACAUAUGGGCCCAGAUUACAAUGAUGAAUCCUACCACUCUUCCAGCAUAAUCAUGGGAGACACAUGAUGCUUAUUUUGUAGCAGUAGAUGGAAAGGUUUUUAGGACAUAUUUAGUGACCAAAGAGAAGAUAGGAAUUAAAUUAUUCCCAGACUGCAUAGUUUGGACCAGAGUCAUUGGCAGUAAUCUUCCAAACAAAGAUAUUGUAGUAGGAAUGGAUGUCUAUUCAGCAACAAAUAAACUUCAAUUUCUCCCCACAUAAAUUAAAUUCAAAAGAGAACUCAAACCUUAUUCUGGAAUAUUGAAACUAUAUUCAUUUCCUAAAAUCCCUGCUGGCUAUGGAGAAAUCAAGUCCAACCUACUAAAACUCUAUGCAUACAACCAUGAAAAAUUUCCACCAUCCAAAACCUAUAUGGAAAAAUAAAGACUUUUUUGUUCAACUUCCUUUUAGGCUCAAUGAAGAUGUUAAUUCAACAAGGGUCACUCAUCCAGGAAUGAGUCCAUCAGAUUAUACAUUAGCUAGGGAGGAAUGCAACCAGUUGCUCAAACAAGGUCUGAUAGAACCCACCAAAUCAUAAUGGGCUUGUCAAGCAUUUUAUGUAGAAAAGAGAUCAGAAAAGUUGAGAGGAAAGAAGAGGCUAGUAAUUGAUUAUAAACCUCUAAAUCAUUUUCUCAAAGAUGAUAAAUUUCCCAUUCCAAAGUCCUCGUCCUUAAAUGUUUUCAUAAAAGAUGCCCAGAUCUAUUCCAAGUUUGAUCUUAAGUCAGUAUUUUUGUAAUUGGGUAUUGACCCCGAGGACCAUUACAAAACAGCGUUCUGCAUUCCUAACGCCCAGUAUCAAUGGACUAUGUUACCAUUUGGCCUUAAGGUAGCUCUGUCACUUUUUCAAAAGGCCAUGACUAGAAUUUUUUAGCCCAUUUUCAAUAGUAUCCUUAUCUAUAUUGAUGAUGUGCUAUUGUUCUUAAAAGAUAAAAAAACUCAAAGAAUUAUUGAGCCAAUUCCUUCAAAUAGCCCAACAACAUGGAAUGAUGCUCUCUGAAAAGAAAAACCAAUUGGAUAAAACAAAAAUUGAUUUUUUAGGGAUGCAUUUCUCCUAAGGGAAAUAUUAACCCUAACCUCACAUUGAUCAAAAGUUGCUAAACUUUCCAGAUGAAAAUCUUACGAUCAACUAAAUUCAACAAAUUUUUGGUAUUAUGAGUUAUAUCAAAGAUUUUCUACCAAGACUGAAAAAGUAUACCAGUAUUUUGUUCCAAUUACUAAAGAAAAAAGCCACCAUCAUGGGGGACAAAGCAAACUAAAGUCGGUAAGGCUUUAAAGAAGAUCGCACAAAUUCCUCAUGCCUAAAAAAUUCUUAGGAAUGGAAAAAGAAUUCUGCAGACUGAUGCUAGUGAUCACUAUUGGGGAGCAGUCCUAGUAGAACAAAUUGAAAGAAAAAAUAAUAUUGCGGUCAUGCUAGUGGCCAAUUUAAAGAAGAUGAAAAACAAUAUCACACCACAUACAAGGAAGCUCUCAACGUAAAAAUCAAAAUCCAAAAGUUUGACUUCCUCCUAAGAGGUUACCACUUUGAAGUCCAGAUGGACAAUUCUUUUUUCCCAAGAUCCUAGAAUUCAAAAUAAGAUGGCACCAGAUCCUCAAACCCUUCGCCUCAAAGACUGGUUUUCCAUAUAUGAUUUAUCUGUAAAACAUAUCAAAGAAACUCAAAAUAUGAUCCGGAUAUACUAUCUCGACCUAUGAAACCUAUCAAAAUCAUCAAAAUCAAGCACAUUUUUUCCUCUGAUUCUUAUGGUCAAACCACUACCAGCCCAUGCAUCCACAACCAAGAAUCUUCCUCCAGAAAUCACUGUAUCCUCUUCACCGUCCCAACUCAAGAAGUAUUCCUGGAACAAUCUCUUUUAUUACAUGACAAAAAGCUUAAGAAAUAAACUUUGGAUCAUACUCCGUAUUUCUCAGACACACAUUUUAUCCUACCAAUUUUAAUAUUCUCAAAUGCCAAAUUCACAAAAUAAAAUAAAAACAUUUAUGGUAUAUCUGGUGUGCCAGCAGUUCGUAUUUUAUGCCUGUUCUUAUUCCCACAGAAGCCAUGUAUCAACAUAUAAUUGAUCUCGAGAACCACAAGUUUCUGAUUUGGGCUAUUUUUGAAUGGUACUCUCCAUUACAAUGUUGGAGAAAUAAAUUAAAAUUAGUCAUAGAUGAGGACAAAGAGUGGAUAUUGGCCUUAUAAGCUAUUAGCAAACUUAAGAUUGUUUUCUUUCUACACUGACCCUAUCAAACAGAUCCUGCAACUAAGCUACUUGAUUGUAAGAGUUAUAUUCACUUAUGGGAAACCAUUGAUGAUUAUCCUCCCAGUCUAAAUAUCACAAAGAUAUAAAUGGAGUAUGUUAACUUCAUAAAUCUCCAUGAUCCAUAGAACUUCAAUGAUAGUACAACUUGCAUAAGUCAUUAAAAGUUCAGAAGAUCAGAAGUUAGAGAAAGUUGAACUCAAGCCACACAAUAGAAACUGGAUUCUCCAAUGGAAGCUGAACUCUCAGAAGGGCGCGUGGAAUAAACUCAUAGAAAAUUAAUGGAUCACACUUACAAGAUUGAUGACAUCUGGCAGCAUGAGUCAUCUCGUUUUGGAGAUUUCUUUUCUGAAGGAAACUUAUUCAAUCAGAAUAUGUCUCCAAGUCAUAAGCCCAUCUUUAAGGACUAUUUGGACAAGUGUUGCUUAUAUGUCACAAGCAUGUUUAUGAAUAGUUUUUUUUUCUUUUUGUGUAAUAAUACUAUAAUUAUGUAUUCAUAAGUGAUAAGUGUGUUUGACUUUUAAAAAAACUGACACACUUAUCACUUAUGGAUACAUAAUUGUAGUAUUAUCACACAAAAAGACGAAAAACCACUAUUCAUAAACAUGCUUGUGACAUAUGAGAGACACUUGUCCAUUUGGUCUUUAAAGAUGGGCUCAUGACUUGGAGACAUAUUUUGAUUGGAUAAGUUUCCUUCAAGAAAGUAAUUUCCAAAACAAGAUGACUCAUGCUGCCAGAUGUCAUCCAUCAUUUAAGUGUGAUCCAUUAAGUUUCUAUGAGUUUCUUUCACGUGUCCUUCUGAGAAUUCAACUUCCAUUAGAGAGUUUGGUUUCUGCUGUGUGGCUUGAGUUGAGCUUUCUCCAACUUCUGGUCUUAUGAACUUUUCAUGACUUAUGCAAGUUGUCUAUCAUUGAUGUUCUCUAGAUCAUGGAGAUUGAUGAACUUAACAUACUCCAUUAAUUCCUUUGUGAUUUUUAAACUGGAAGGAUAAUCAUCAAUGAUUUCCCAUAGGUGAACAUAACUCUUACAAUCAAGUAGCUUAUGUGCAGGAUAUGUUUGAUAGGGCAUGUGUAAUAAUAAAUCAGUCUUGAGCAUGUUAAUAGCUUCUAAGACAAAUCUUUGCUCUUUUACCUUAUUUAUGAUUGGUUUUAAUUGAUUUCUCCACCAUUGUAAUGGAGAGUACCAUUCAAUAGUAGUCAAAAUCAGGGACUUGUGGUUCUUGGGAUCCAUUAUAUGUUGAUACAUGGCUUUGGCGGGAAUAAGAACAUGCAUAAAAUACAAACUAGGGCACACCAGAUAUACCAUAAAUGGUUUUUUUUUAAUUUUGCAUUUGGGUUUAUUAAAAUUGAUAGGAGAAAAGGUGUGUCUGGGAAAUAAGGAGUAUGAUCCGGGAGUUUAUUUCUUAUGAUUUUUGUCAUGUAAUAAAAUUGAGUAUUCUUAGCAUAUUGCUUGAUCUGGGACGGUGAAGAGGAUACAGUGAUUCCUAGAGGAAGAUUCUUCGUUGUGGAUGUAUGGGCUAGUAGUGGUUUGACCAUACGAAUCAGAGGGAAAAUGUGCUUGUCUGUGAUGACCUGGAUAAGUCUUAUAGGUAGGGAUAAUAGAUUAGGGAUCACAUUUUGAGUUCUUUUGAUAUGUUUUACAAAGAAAUCACAUAUGGAAAACCAAUCUUUGAGGGGAAGAGUUUAAGGAUCUGAUGGCAUCUUAUUUUUGAAUUUGAGGAUCUUGGGAAAAGAGGAAUUAUCCAUCUGGACUAAAAACUGGUAACCUCUUAAGUGGAAGUUAAACUUUUGGAUUCCCAUUUUUACGGUGAGAGCUUCCUUGUAGGUGGUGUGAUAGUGUUUUUCAGCUUCUGUAAAUUGGCCACUCGCAUGACUACAAUAGUUAUUUUUUCCUUCAAGUUCUUCUACCAAGACUGCUCCCCAAUAGUGAUCAUUGGCACCGGUCUGCAGAAUUCUUUUGCCAUUCUCAGGGAUUUUCAGGGCAUGAGGAGUUUGUGUGAUCUUUUUUAAAGCCUUAACAACUUCAGCUUGCUUUGUCCCCCAUGGUGGUGGCUUUUUCUUGAGUAAUUGGGACACAGGGUUGGUAUACUUUGUAGGUCUUAGUAGAAAAUCUUUGAUAUAAGUGAUAAUACCAAGAAAUUGUUGAAUUUGCUUGAUCUUAAGAUUUUCAUCUAGAAAGUUUAGCAACUCUCGAGCAAUAUGAGGUUGGGGUUGAUAUUUCCCUUGGGAGAAAUGCAUCCCUAAAAAAUCAAUUUCUGUUUGGCCCAAUUGGUUUUUCUUUUCAGAGAGCAUCAUUCCAUUUUGUUGGGCUAUUUGAAGGAAUUGGCCCAAUAAUUGUUUAUGGGUUUUUUCAUCUUUUGGGAACAAUAGAACAUUAUCAAUAUAUAUGAGGAUACUAUUGAGAAUAGGCUAAAAAAUUCUAGUCAUGGCCCUUUGAAAAAGUGAUGGAGCUACCUUAAGCCUAAAUGGCAACAUAGUCCAUUUGUAUUGUGCAUUAGGAGUGCAGAACACCGUUUUGUAACGGUCCUCAAGGUUAAUACCUAAUUGACAAAAUCCUGACUUAAGAUCAAACUUGGAAUAGAUCUGGGCAUCUUUGAUGAAAACAUUUAAGGAUGAGGCCUUUGUAAUGGGAAAUUUAUCAUCUUUGAGAAAAUGAUUUAGAGGUUUGUAGUCAAUUACUAGCCUUUUUUUUCCUCUCAACUUUUCAGAUCUCUUUUCUACAUAAAAUGCCUGGCAACCCCAUUUUGAUUUAAUGGGUUCUACCACACCUCGUUUGAGCAGUUGGUUACGUUCUUCCCUAGCUAAUGUAUAAUCUGAUUGACUCAUUCCUAGAUUAGUGGCCUUGUUUGGAUUAACAUCUUCAUUGAGCUUAAAAGAAAGUUGAACAAAAAAGUAUUUAUUUUUCCAUAGAGGUUUUGGAUGGCGGAAUUUUUCAUGGAUGUCUGUAUAGAGUUUGAUUAGGUUAGACUUUAUUUCUCCAUAGCCAUCAGGGAUUUUAGGAAGUGAAUAUAGUUACAAUAUUCCAGAAUAAGGUUUGAAUUCUCUUUUGAAAUUAAUUCUUAUGGGGAUAAUUUGAAGUCUAUUUGUUGAUAAAUCAACAUCCAUUCCUACUACUCUAUCUUUGUUUAGAAGAUUACUACCAAUGACCCUGGUCUAGAUUAUGCAGUUUGGGAAGAAUUUAAUUCAUAUAUCCUCUUUGGUCAUUAAAUCUUUUUCUAAAACUUUUCAAUCAGCUGCUACAACACAAUAGAGGCGUGGAGUAUAAAGAGAACUUCCUAUUUCAUUGAGGUAGUAAACAUUGAAAUAUUUGUCAUCUCCUGACUCCGAAAAUGAUGUUUCAUCAUACGAAGAGUCUUGAAGGAUAAAAAUUGCCUCUUCAUCAACAGAGCUUUGUUCAAAAUACAAGGAUUAUAAGUCUCCUUCUAUAGGUUGAAGAUAGUUGAUCAACUUUGCGGCUUUGUUGGUAUUAUUAGGACACUCUUUAGAGAAAUGCCUUUUUCCCCCAUAAAUAAAGCAUCUCUAAUUUUUCCCCUUUCCUCUGAAAUGUUUUCUUAUAAAGAACUUCAUAGACUUAUUUUUCUUUCCCUUGAAGGUCCUAUGAGGUUUUGUAUAUUUUUUAUGAGGAUGCUUCUUUUUUGUUGCACAACUAAACCUUUUGUCUUUACACUUAAGGUCCAAGUAAGUAUUCUUACAUGCCUUGGUGAAUUUUGACUUUUGUUUUAUAACUUCUGAAAAUUGAUGAUGAAAACUACAAAGCUUUUCAACUACUUCCAACGUCACUUAAUGAAUCUGGCCAAGACUCGUGGUUUUAUCCUUUUGAGUUGCUACUAACAUCCUACGAUUUUAUUGCUAGAGUUCUUGUGGUGGAGAGGAAACAUAAGUAUUCUUGAGACUAGGAUCAUUGUAUAUGUUGAGGAGAUAAUACCUUUGUGCCAUCUUAUGAUAGUGUUUGUCGAGGCCCUUUGUUUUGAGGGAACAACACUUCAUCUCAAAGAGUUCCAGUCUAUUUUUCUAUCAAAGAUCUCGAUAUCACCGAUAAAUUCAUGGUCAAGCACACCAAGAAUAUUAGUUGUAGUUUUUAGAUGGUGUAACUCAUCUUGUUUGAAAGCUUCAAGACUGUGAUUCCAUUUUUUCCUCGUGUCCGUCAUUCUAUAGCAAAACUCAUCAAUUAUCUUAUAGCUAUCUGGACUUGUUUUCAUCAUCUGGGUGUCAAGCAAAGCUCCAAAUUCAAGUUGUCUCUUUCUCCAACGACUAGAUGGUAUAUGAUCAAAAGUGAACCUAGGACUUCCAUUUGGUUUAUUCCUUUCAGGGACUAGAGUUUCUUCAGGGGAUUCUUCAAAAACGUAUUCUUCCUCUUUUAUAUUUUCCAUGUAGAGUCUUUGGAUAUAGUUAUCUUCAGAUUCUGAUUUCGAUGAAAAAGAUCUCGGUGUUUCAUCAACAGGUGUUCCUUGAUAAGAGUUAUUGUCACCAUCUGAGGAGGACUCAUCUCCCUUUUGUGUUGAUGAUUCAGUAAGAGAGUAAUUCUUUCGGGGAGAUUCAUAAUUUUUAGUGACUUCUAUGGCUUGGAAACCUUCAUCAAGAAUUUAUUCUUCCUUUUGGAGUUUUGGAGGAGGUGUUUCAGGAAUAUCUUGAGAGUCCGAGGAUGAAGCGCUCAAACUUGAAGCUUUCCCUUUUGUAUUGGAGGUUGAGGUAGUGGUAGUUCUGGAAAAUUUUGGUUUGUAAGUUGUAGGUAUGUAUUUGGCCUGAUCUGGUGGUGAUGAAACAUAGAGAGGGUAGAAAGGAGAAGGAAUUUUUGGUAGUUUGAAAUAUGUAGGGAAAGAAGGAGGGUCAAAGAAAUAGUUUUCAACAAGCUUGGGCUUUCUUUCAUGAGAGGCUCUUAUGAAAUCAUCUAUCUUUUUAACUAGGCCUUGCGGAUUUCUGAUUUCUCUUUCUUUUUGGUCAGAAGUUUUGCCAAAAGUUCUCUCUUGUAACAUAUGUCGCAAAUCACGAUCUUGUUGAGUUACUCGAGCUUUUAGGCUUCUGUAAUGUUUCUACAUUUUUUGGGAUAUAACCUUGAGAUACUCAUAUAUCUUGUCUAUUUUGUUAGCAAUCGUAUCCACCUUUUUGUCAAGAUUUUAGAGAAUAUCAUUUUGAGAAAACAAGUUUUCCGAUUUCCAAUUUAGAAUUUCUUCAGCUUGAGUUAAAGGUUUAAGUUUUCCAUGAGGCUGGACUUCAUUAAGAUGAAUGAACAGUUUGGAUGUUCUGCCUGUGGUUUGAUCAAUCUUCGUUUCUAUAGCGGGAAAUUGUUGGCUAUAAUUCGAUGUUGUAGAUGACUACAUAAAUCAAGGGAUUGGUCUAACAUUUUUUUGGAAGAUUCAAAGGUUUACAGUAGUCUGAUGGUGACCACGUAACAAGAGUAGGGUCAUCUGGUGGCAACCAUUUUUCUUUCUUGAGAAUCUUAAGAGCUUUCUCAUAAAUAGGAAGAGGUUUGUUUAUCUAAUGGAUUCCUACCCAUGGACCAUUAUCAAAUCAUAUCUUCUCUGUGGAGGAAGAUAUGGUUUGCGCAUCUCUUUGUUUUUCUUUUUUGGGAGAAUAAUGUCUCUUUCAAAAUCAUUAUCGUGCAUAUAACAUUCACAUGCCGAGUCGCAUUUAUUGGGAUCUAUGUCCCAAAUAAAGUGACCUUUUAUCUUGUCAGUAUAUAUAGGUUCUCCUUUAAUAGUAACAACAUGAAUCGAGAACCAAAAUUAUUUGAGAAUCGGUUGGAUCUUCAUGGUUUGGAAAAUAGGAGAAAUUGGACUCGGCCCUUUGUCUGGUUUUUUGAAAAAUAAUUUAACAAUUUGGCCAUAGUAUCUUCUGAAGGUAACCUCUUGAGAUUGUAUUUGUCUUCUAUCUUGAUGGAUUUUUUUAUAAUUUAUUAUCCAUUCAAGCGGAAUCAACUGAGUUAAUUCUUCCCUUAUGAUUCUUAUUGGUAUCUGGAUGAUAAAGGAUAGAUAUUCUUCUUUAUUAGUAACUACUAAUAGCAAAGCAGAAGAACAUCUUGUGAUAGGAAAAUAUAUCGAAUGAUUUUGUAAGAGAUAUAUUAUUUAGGGAUGGAGAGUAGCAGACAUGGGUUCUGGAACUUGGUCAGAUCCAGUGAUUUGGAUAUGGACUUUUAGUCUUGUGGAUAGAGUGUUUCCGUUGAGGCUUACAUUAUAAUUUUGGAAAAAUAGUGAGGACAACACUUCUCGCAUGAAGUGUGGUUAGAAAAGUCCAUAUGACAACAUUUUCAUAAUGGAGAUAACUCGAAUCUAGGGGAGCUAUUUAUCGAAGACAUAUUGAUUUUUCCUUCCAUGGAGAAAGGGGAUGAGCCUAACCACUCCUAAAUGUAAAGUUGUGUAUCCUUCUGAUUUCUAGUGAUUUAUGAGACUCUGAGGAAUCUCUAAAUCUACAUAAUUCUCUAGGUUUGUAGCACUCAUACUACAUUAGUCUUGUCGGGAUGAUUGGACAUACUCUUUCAUAUGAGGGUGGUUUGUAGAGAUCAAGUUUAUGAUGGAUCUGGUAAUUGUUUUUUUUAAAGAUAUUAUAAGGACUUAAAGGGGGAGGUGUUAUUUCAUCAAUUUAAGCAUCUUCUGGAACAUAGGAAUACUCAACAUGGUUUUCUAUUUUCUGAGUAUCAGUCUUUUUACAGAGUUUAGGAAGUGAUAGGGAAGAGAUGGUAGUAAUAGGUUGAAUGUUUGGUUGUGGUGUUUCCAUGAUCAAGUAUUUUUCUCCCUUACUCACUUUUUUUAUUUUAUUCAUACUAUAUUCACCCCUUCUUUUGUCGAGGCUCUGAUACCACACUAAUUGGGAGCCUCACACAUCAUGAAACCAACCUUAAUUGUAUCUUCAACAAAUAGCCAACCAUAUGCAUAACAUAAACUAAUAGUUAAAAUUGACAUUCCCUAACAGUGAGGAACAUAGUAUAGAUUGAAGGUCAGAUGUUUUCUGAUACACAAGAUCCUCAUUUAGAGGCAAGUGAAGAGCAUACUUGUAUCUUUGCAGGGGAAUUAUGAUAUGAAUAUAAUUACUAAAGCUUUUAGGGAGAAAGGAAAUAUUUUUAGAACAUGGUUAUUCUUAAGCACAUAAGAAGAUUUAUUUGUGAUUGUUUGCGAAAAAUAUGUUACAAGAGCUGUCCUUUUAUAGACAAGGAGGAACAUAUAGAACAAAAACAACAUUAUUUAUAAGAAUUUCAUCUUUAGUACUAUAGAAAUGCCUUUUUUCAAAAGUUCAACACACUUAUCACUUUAUGGAUACGAAAUUGUAGUAUUAUUACCCAAAAUGACGAAAAACCACUAUUCAUAAACAUGCUUGUGACAUAUGAGAGACACUUGACCAUUUGGUCUUUAAAGAUGGGCUCAUGACUUGGAGACAUAUUUUGAUCGGAUAAGUUUCCUUCAGAAAAGCAAUCUCAAAAACGAGAUGACUCAUGCUGCUAGAUGUCAUCCAUCAUGUAAGUGCAAUCCAUUAAGUUUCCAUGAAAAUUUUCCACGUGUCCUUCUGAGAGUUCAGCUUCCAUUGGAGAAUUUGGUUACUGUUGUGUGGCUUGAGUUGAGCUUUCUCCAACUUCUGGUCUUUUGAACUUUUCAUGACUUAUGCAAGUUGUACUAUCAUUGAUGUUCUCUGGAUCAUGGAGAUUGAUGAAGUUAACAUACUCCAUUAAUUCCUUUAUGAUUUUUAGACUGGGAGAAUAAUCAUCAAUGGUUUCCAAUAGGUGGACAUAACUCUUACAAUCAAGUAGCUUAUGUGCAGGAUCUGUUUGAUAGGGCAUGUGUAGAAAGAAAACAGUCUUCAGUUUGCUAAUAGCUUCUAAGGCUAAUCUUCGCUCUUUUACCGAGUACUAUUCAAUAGUAGUCCUAAUCAGGGACUUGUGGUUCUCAGUAUCCUUUAUGUGUUGAUACAUAACUUUGGUGGGAAUAAGAACAUGCAUAAAAUACAAAUUGGUGACACAUCAGAUAUACCAUAAAUGUCUUUUUUAUGAAUUUAGCAUUUAGGUUUAUUAAAAUUGGUAAGGAAAAGGUGUGUCUGGGAAAUAAGGAGUAUGAUCCAAGAGUUUAUUUCUUAUGAUUUUUGUCAUGUAAUAAAAAAUAUUAUUCCUGGUAUACUGCUUGAGCUGGGACGAUAAAGAGGAUACAAUUAUUUCUGGAGGAAGAUUCUUGUUGUGAAUGCAUGGGCUGGUAGUGGUUUGACCAUAAGAAUCAGAGGGAAAAUAUGCUUGGCCGUGAUGAUCUGGAUAAGUUUAAUAGGUUGGGAUAGUAGAUCAGGGAUCACAUUUUGAGUUCCUUUGAUAUGUUUUACAGAACAAUCAUAUUUGGAAAACCAAUCUUUGAGGCGAAGAGUUUGAGGAUCUGAUGGCAUCUUAUUUUUGAAUUCAAGGAUCUUUUGAAAAGUGGAAUGGUUCAUCUGGACUUCAAACUGGUAACCUCUUAAGUGGAAUCAAACUUUUGGAUUCCCAUUUUUAUGGUGACAACUUCCUGAUAGAUGGUGUGAUAGUGUUCUUCAACUUCUUUAAAUUGACUAUUGGUAUGACCGUAAUAGUAUAUUUUUUCUUUCAAGUUCUUCUACCAGGAAUGCUCCCCAAUAGUGAUCAGCGACAUUAGUCUGCAGAAUUAUUUUGCCACUCCUAAGGAUUUUCAGGGUAGAAGGCGUUUGUGUGAUCUUCUUUAAAGCCUUAAGGACUUUAAUUUGCUUCAUCCCUCAUGGUGGUGGCCUUUUCUUGAGUAAUUGGGAUAGAGGACUAGUAUACUUUGGCGGUCUUGGUAGAAAUUUUCUGAUAUAAUUGAAAGUACAAAGAAAUUAUUGAAUUUUCUUAAUCAUAAGAUUUUCAUUUGGAAAGUUCAGCAACUCUUGAGUAAUGUGAGUUUAGGGUUGAUAUUUCCCUUGGGAGAAAUGCAUCCCUAAAAAUCAAUUUCUUUUUGGCCCAAAUGGCCUUUAUUUUCAUAGAGCAUCAUCCCAUGUUGGUGGGCUAUUUGAAGGAAUUGGCCCAAUAAUUAUUUAUGGGUUUUUUCAUCUUUUGAGAACAAUAACACAUCAUCAAUAUAAAUAAGGAUACUAUUGAGAAUGGGCUCAAGAAAUUAAGUCAUGGCCUUUUGAAAAAGUGAUGGAGCUACCUUAAGCCAAAAUGAUAACACAAUCCAUUGGUACAGGGCAUUAGGAAUGCAGAACGCCCUUUUAUAACGGUCCUCGAGGUCAAUACCCAAUUGCAAAAAUCGUGACUUAAGAUCGAACUUGGAAUAGAUAUAGGCAUCUUUGAUGAAAACAUUUAAGGAUGAGGCCUUGGGAAUGGGAAAUUUAUCAUCCUUGAUAAAAUGAUUUAGAGGUUUGUAGUCAAUUACUAGUCUCUUUUUUCCUCUCAACUUUUCAAAUAUUUGUACUACAUAAAAUGCUUGGCAAGCCCAUUCUGAUUUGGUGGAUUCUAUUAGACCUUGUUUGAGAAACUGGUUUCAUUCUUCCCUAGCUAAUGUAUAAUUUGAUUGACUCAUUCCUGGAUGAGUGGCCUUGGUUGGAUUAACAUCUUCAUUGAGCUUAAAAGGAAGUUGAACAAAAAAGUAUUUAUUUUUCCAUAGAGGUUUAGGAUGGCGUAAUUUUUCAUGGUUGUCUGCGUAGAGUUUGAGUAGGUUAGACUUGAUUUCUUCAUAACUAUAAGGGGUUUUAGAAAGUGAAUAUAGUUUCAAUGUUCCAAAAUAAGGUUUAAAUUCUCUUUUGAAUAUGAUCCCCGUCGGGAGAAUUUGAAGUCUAUUUGCUGCUGAAUAGACAUCCAUUGCUACUACAAUAUCUUUGUUUGGAAGAUUACUGUCAAUGAACCUGCUCCAACCUAUGUUGUAUGGGGAGAUUUUAGUUCCUAUCUUCUCGUUGGUCAUCAAGUUUUUCCUAAAAUCUUUCCAUUUGCUGCUACAAAGUAUGCAACAUGUGUCACCCAUGAUUCUGCUGAGAGAAUGCUAGGAUUCAUCAUUGUAAUAUGGGCCCUAAUGUCCAUAUAAGCUUUAACUUUAUUUGGACGGGAAAACUUUGUUGUAAGGAUAUGAACCUAAACACAAGAGCUUAAACACAAGAGAGGGGUGGAGUGGGAAGAGAACUUCCUAUUUCUUUGAAGGACUAAACAUGGAAAUAUUUGUCAUCUUCUGACUCCGAAAAUGAUUCUUCAUCAGAAGAAGAGUCUUGAAGGUAAAAAAUCAUCUUUUCAUCAGUAGAGCUUUGUUUAGAAUACAGGGAUUCUAAGUCUCCUUCUAAAGUUUAAAGAGAGUUGAUCAGCUUUGCGACUUUGUGGGUAUUAUUAGGACACUCUUUAGAUAAAUUCCCCAUUUUCCCAUAAAUAUAGCAUCUCUGAUUCAAAGUAUAUCCAACUCAAAAAUCUAUCUUGGUUUGAUAUCAGCUCAUGGAAGAUCCAUGUUUGGUUUAGAGACUAAUCGCUAUGAGCAUUGUUCAUUGUAUUGUUAAAAGUUAGCCUGAAAACUUCAUUUCUUUGUAUAUGGAGGUUUGUGGGCACAUCCUUCUAAAAGCUCUCAAGUUUAGUGGAUACUCUCAAGAAUAAUUCUUUAGGACAUGAGUAGGUUAUCUUAGGUUAAACAUGCAUCAUUCUCUGGUGGUCCUUCUUCUCCCUUAUCUCUUUUAUUUCUAGUUAUUUUCUUUCCUUUGAUUUUCCAAUGCUUAUUUACUAGCUUGUUUUACAAAAUAUUUUCAAACUGUUAUUUGCAAAUGAUUUUGUUUUAAACUAGAGUUUUUCAAACCUACACACUUCACCCUCCUCUUGGGUAUGGAGUCACAUAUCAAAUAUAAUCUUCUCAUGAGGUAGUAUAAUAUAAUGGACUUGUGAUCAAAUUUAUAUAUCAUGAUACAUCAACUUCUAAACAUUGGAUUGUCUGUAGUCAUCCCCUUCAUGCAUUCACUCAUUCAUAGAAUUAAUGAUUGUUCAAUCAAGAUUUGAUGAUCCAAAAGAAUAUAUACUUUAAUUUAUAUUAUAAUUUAAAAUUUACAACUUAAAUCAGAAUCGUCUGAUCUUGAUUGAACGAUCACUAAUACCUUAAAUGUUUAAAUGUGUGAACCAUGAUUGCAGGGAAUCUACAUCUCAAAUACAAAAAACACUAUUACAAAAAACACAUUUCGUAACAAUGUAUAACUAGAACCACUUAACCAACCGGAGUAAUAUAUAUUCAUUAGGCGCCUUUUGUUUUUUGUAUUUAUAAAUUUCAUAUAACCAUUGUUCAUAAAAACAACUAAUGUGUUAUGUGAAAUAAUGACACACUUCAAAUCCCCACACCACACCUGCAAUUUUCUAUUUAUAAAUAAGAAUUAAACACUUUUCCCCACAGUCCAUAAGAAGAACCAUUUGUAGUUAAAAAGGAUGACACUUUACCAUGGUUCUUUUUGUCAAUCGUGGUGAAAUAUAUUACCUAUAAAACCUAACUAAAAUAUGUUCAAAACGGAUUGUUCUCAAAGGAAAUCCUAACUUCUCUUGUCUUAUCCCAAUAUCUCAAAACUCCAAUAUAACUUCACCCACUAUUAUGAAUCAAGGAAAUGUUUCACAAAUAUUUGCAAGACUAGACAAGUAGUUCAUUUCUUUGUCUUUGUUGUCCAUGUAUCUUUUCAAUGAAAGUUACGUUCGUGAAACAUUAUAUAAGCUGAUGUUAUUGUUGUUCAAAGUUUCAGUCUUGUUUUUCUUGUUCAAAGUAUAUGUGAAACAAAUGGUUUUUUUUUUCUUGUUGUUAAGAUGAUAUUUUAGUUUUUAUAUUGUUGCUUUUUUGGAGAUUAGUAAAGGGUUUAAGUUAUUGAUGAGGUAUAUUGUUGUUUUGUUAAGGUAGUUUGUUGUUUAUGUCAAGGUAAGUUAUUAUUUUUUGUUGAUAAAUGUUAUUAUUUAUGUUACUGUAGAUGUUUUUUUAUUAGGUUGGUUGAUUUUUUUCUGGAGGUAUGUUAUUGUUUUAUUAUGGUAACGUCGCAGUGUGAAAAGUAUGCAUCGCACGCUCAUGGAUGAUAAACAGAGUCGACACUGAACUUUAUUUAUUCAAAAAAAGAAAAAGGAAAAAAUCGAUAAAACCCUUAAAAGAUCACAAAGAUACGGUCGUCGUAACCAAAUUAGACUUGAGAAUCGAUUAUGCAAGGGAAAGGUAUUAGCACCCCUCACAUAUGUUGUACUCAACGGGAACCAUUUAGUUAGUUUUACACUUAAGUGUUAGCUUUGAAAUGUUUGCUUUCUUGAGUUAUUAAAAAUUCAAAGAGAAAAAAGAAAAAGUUUGCAAACAAGUUUUUUUUAUUAAGGUGUCUGACAAGAUUACGGGUCUUUCUCCUACGUAUCUCUGGGUGCGAUGGAGAACUCAAAGCUACGUAGUUAUGGGUAGAAAAUGUUUGUUUGUGGGUCAAUUUUAACGAAAGCUAUUUUUUCGCAAUCGAACGGAAAAUACUGCUUACCCAAAACAGUGGAGGAGAAUGUGUUUUCAACAUAAUAUAAUGGAUUAACAAAUCAACAUUCGCGGGAAAACGUCACUUAACUCACUCACACAUAUAAGUAGAUGACACAUUAUUUUUCAUCGUCUCAAGACGAAACAUCUUUCGUUUAAAAAGUGUUUGAAGUUUAAUGCCAAAAGGCAAAAGUUUGAAUGUGUUGGACAUAUUUUUGUAUGAUGACAAACACUUAGAUGGUCAAAAUACACACCUCGUAUCCAAACACUCGGGGAUAGCGUGAUAUACACCACAUUCCUUUUUCAUCUUAUUUGUGAAAGGGAUGUAUAUGAUUAAGCAUUUUUUGGUUAGAAGACGAACAUUCGGAUGGUCAAGAUAUACACCUCAUAUCCAAACACUGGGGAUAACAUGAUAUAUACCACGAUCCUUUUUCGUUCAAUUUAUUAUAAAAAUGAAUUUGAAAACAAACACGCUUUUAAGAGUUUUUUAAAGGGAUGAUGAGUGCUCGGAUGGUCGAGAUAUACACCUCGUAUCUAAACCCUCGGGGAAAUCGUGAUUUACACCAUGUUCAUUUUUCAUCUUUAUUUAUGGAAAAAUGUUUGAUGAUGAUUAGGUAUUUUUUUAUUUUUUUAUUAGGGAAAUGCGCUCGAUGUUGAUCGAAGUUUGAUUUGCAUUGCAAAAUGAUUUGUAUUUGGUUUGAAAUGAUGGUUGAAAUUGAUUUUAAAAGUGAUUGGAAAUUAUGGUUAAAUGGUUUUUAAAUUGAAAUUUGUGGUGAAUUUUUUUUUUAAAAUUAAAAGAUAAAAAAAGAUUAAUUUGGAAAAAGAUUAUUAUUUACAAGUAAUAAGAUUUUUUUUAAUAAAUUAGUUUAAAAAGAAAGUCUUUUUUUUUAGUUUUUAAUAGUUUGAUAAUUUAAAUAAUCAAACAACAAAACAAAUAUGUAUAUAAACACAUAAAUAUUUACACAUGUAAUAAAAUAAAUAAAUAAAUAUAUAAAUAAAAUGUUCAAUAUUAUUUACAAAUAGUGGUUGAAAUGAAUAACAUAAAAUAAAAUAUAAAAUAACAAAAGAAAAAAUGAAAACAAAUUAAACAAAAGAAACAAGUAAACAUGGGCUAAAAAACCCAAAUAAAGGGGUGUGCAUAUCAUAGACGUGGGGUAAGGCCCAAAAGUGGUCCAAAUAAAGGGGUGUGCAUAGCAUAGACGUGGGAUAAGACCCAAAACUGGUCCAAAUAAAGGGGUGUGCAUAUCAUAGACGUGGGGUAAGACCCAAAAGAUCAGGACUCAUCCAUAUGGCAUAUUGUGGACGGUUGAAAGAUCAGUUAUUAACAUGUGAAUGGGAGAAAGGGAUUCAUUUCUCACUUAUUUUUAUCUCUCUUCAAUUCGUACCUCUCUCACACUCUCUGAAUAAAAACACAAACACACAUGAACAAUGGGUGGUGGAGGAUCCGAGCCGGUCGAACCUAUGAAGGUAUGUGACAAUGCAUAUGAAUGUGCAUGGUGGUGUAACAGCUGGAAUUCAUAUUGAACCUCCUCCUAGGGGUUCUCAACCUUAUAAACUCAAAUUCGAACUCCAAAUCCCCAGAAACCUCAUAUAAACCCCUCAAUUGAAAUCACAGUAACAAACCCUAAUUUCCAAACUAAAAAAACCCAAUAAACACGAACACAAUGAAAUCAACAAAGAAGAAAAGCCUAAAUGCGACAAGCAACAUAGUUAAUCAUGGAAAAUGCAAAAGGGAGAUAAGGAAGUUACCCGACCGGACAUUACCGGUGAAAAGACUUCAUCGGAGUAAUUUCCUUUCUCUUUUUGUUUCUUCUUUCUAAAACUCUCAUCUACUCCUUCUUUUUCGAUUAUGGCUUUGCUUGAUGUGCUGGUUUUGUUGUAUUUGUGUUGUUGUUAUUAGCCUUGUCUAAAUCUUAAGCUCAAUUUGAUCAAGAGUUUCAAAUGUGAAGCUCUGAACAACCAGAAUGAAGGAGCUCUAUUGAUUUUGGUUUUAGGGAUUUUGUGAAUGUAGUCUGAGUUUUUUUGAUAGCUCUAAGAUUUAGGGUUUUCCAAUUUUGCGUUCUUGCCUCUCAAUAGGUUUUCUCUCUGUGUAUCUUUGUCGCGCCGCGAAAAAUACAUAGUCGCCACCGAAUUUCAUUUUUUCCAAAGGAAUGGGGAAAUAUCACCCUUAAAAGUAAAAGAAGAUGGUCAUUGCAACCAAAUUCAGGUUCGGGAGUCAAUUAUGCAAUGGGAAAGUAUUAGCACCCCUCACAUUUGUUGUACUCAAUGGGAACUGUUUUGAUUGUUUUGCACAAAUGGGUGUUAUUAUCUAAAGGUUACUUGUGAUUGAUAUUAAUUAAGGGGGAAAUAAGUUUUUAAUUAAUGUGCUCGCCAAGAUUUUGGAAUCAUGUACCUACGUAUUCCCAUAGUGCAAUGAGAAAAUCAGAGCCCCGUAGUUCGUGGUAUAGAAAAUAAGUAUUUGUUGGUUGUUUUUUAUGAAAAGCUUUUGAAUGUCCUAAGAUGAGAAAAUUGAAUUUGAUUGGUUGUGAUUGAUUUAAGUGGGAGACAAGUACCGGAACACAAGCUAGGUACAACCGACAAUCUAAGUACUCGAUAGCUGAAAGGACAAGUGCAUCAUGACCUCUCUUUUUCAUCCCAAAAGUUUUUAUUUAUGAAAUUUGUGAGGCGUUGUACUUAGAGGGAGACAAACAUCUAACCACAAGCUAAGUACGAUCGACAAUCAGAAUACUUGGGAGCUUAAAGGACAAGUGCAUCCCGACCUCUCUUUUCCAUUCCAUGAGGACCAAAUUAAACUCGUUUAUUUUUAAGUGUUUUAAAUAGAAGACGAGUACUGAGCCAUAAGCUAACCACGACCAACAACCCAAGUACUUGAUAAAUUGUGUGGACAAGUACGUACACCCCAUCCUUUUUCAUUUGGUUUAUUGUGAAAAUGUUCAAAAAUGACUUGACGUUGGAUCAAGUGUUUGAAGUUGAUUAAUUUUAAGUUAGGAAUUAACUAAGACGACAAUAUAACCGAAUGGAAUGCGAUAAAAUAAGCAAGAAAUACAACUCGAGGGAGAGGGAUACAUAUUGUCAAAUGGAGAAUAAUAUGGCAAAUAAAAGAGAUUUGUAAAUUAACCGGGUUUGAGGAUCAUUAACCAAAUAACUAAGUGAAUUGUCAUAAUUUAAUUAAUCAAUUAAAAUCAAUUAAUUAAACAAACCAAAAAUUAAUUAUCAAGAAUUAUUGAAAAAAAUUUAAUAUAGUCAAAUAAUCAAGCUAAUCAAAAUCAAUUAACAAAAUUAACUGAUUAAUACAAUUUUUGACUAGUUAGUCAAUUAAUAUAUUUAAAAAUAUAUUUUUUUUGCAAAGAAACAAAGGUAUCCACUAAAUACUCAACCUUAAAAAUCUAACAUUUUCCGAUUUUUUAUUUAAAGUGACUAUUAUAGGUUUACAUCCAUAUAAGUAAACAUAUCUAGCAAUAAGAAUAGAAAAUUCACAACAUAAUUUAUAUCCUUCUUAAUCAAAGUUCAUAACAUCGUAAUCAUAAUAAGUGUGGACCAAUUUUGUUAACAUUAGCAUUUCAACAAUUCAACUUUACGCGAAACAAAGACAAACAAGAUUAAAACGAUUCAAUAAUUAUAGAAAAUAAACAUUUACUCAAAAUAUUCCUUUCACCUUCAUUUACCUUAGAAGAAAAUAAAUCAACCGCCCAAAUUUCCAAGGCCAACACAAAGUGAAUUUCCAAAAGCAAUGUGAAUUGGAAAUUCACGACAGAAACAACAAUUCAUAUAUGAUUUGGAAAUUCCAAAAGCAAUGUGAAUUUCCGCUUAAACUCUAUCGAUUUCGGUUCGUAUUUGUUUCCGUUCAGAAUUUCCGUUUGGAAUCGAAGUUAUAAUUUGAGUUUCGAGCAAAAACUUGGUUCAGAACUUAGUGUAUUUGAAAACGAAAACGAGUCUUUCAAAGAAAAUGAAGCGUACUUAGGAUCUUGAAUUUACAAUUAAAAGUAUAGUGGUCUGAGAUCAGUGGUUCAUUGUCAUAGAAGUUUUAGAGGUAUGCAUGGGUAUAAGUUUCAACAUAAGAUUUGCAAAGGUCUGUGUGCAUAUUAACAGUGUAGACUGUAGUCUCAUUACUGCCAGAGUCCAUUUAUCUUGCUGCAGUAACUUAUUAAAUUUAUGCAUUUUUUUCAUUUUUUUUAAAAUUAAGUCAAUUCUUUUAUGGUGGAUUGUUGAAGUUUCAAGAUGAAAUGACGAUGAUUGAGGUUGAUGAAGAUUAUGGUUGUGGUAGGUUUUUAUUGGAAUGUGGUUGAAGCUUGGUUAUGGUGAAGAAUUUGUGAUUUUGUAAUUUUGGAGGUUGAAGAAAUUUUAGAGUGAAUGAUGAAAUGUGAAGUGAUGAAGAUGAUAAAAUUGGGAGAUGAAGAUGGUUAUGGUGAAAUUUGGUGAAUUGAGAUUUUUGUGAUUGGUUGUGAAUAGGGAUUAACCUCUCAUGAUGGUAAUGAGUGAUGUUUAAAUAGGAAUAAAAUGGAGGGAAAGUUAGUUAUGAAAGAUAAUUCAAAAUUAUUGGAUAGUGAUCCUUGUGGUGAGUUUAAGAGUGAUUCGGAUUGAAUUGUGUUAGUUUUGAGGGAUUAAGGUAGUUAUGGAUAGUUUAGAUGGUUAGAAAUGAAAUGUAAAUUUUGGAUUUGUUUGAAAUAAAAAUGAAUAUCAUUUGAUUUACUUGAAGUUGCAUCUCACAUAGUUUUAGCUUUUUAGAAAUGAAAUAUAAAUGCAAACGUGUAGUAAAUUCUAUUUGGAAUACAAAUGCAAAUAUAAAUAUAUGGAAAAUUCAAUUUUGUGAAAGAAAUUGGAAUUAACAUGUAAUUUUAAGUAUUUGACUUAUGAUAUGAAUAAAAAUCAAAACAAAUUAGCUUUAAAAAUAAAUAAUUGAACUAAAAAUUAAAUUGGUCAUGGAUUAAAAAUAAAGCUUUGACUUUUUAAAAUAAUACUAAUAAAAAUGCAAUUUAUUUUAUUUUAUUUUAAUUUGCAUCUUAUUCUUAUUUUUACUUCAAAUCUCAUUAAAGCAUUUAGAAUAAAAUUAAGUAAUAAGACAUAAAUCAAUUUUAAAUCGUAUAUCGAGAAAAAUCAUAAACUUAAAUCAAAUUAAUACAAAUGAGAUGACAAUAAAAAAUCAACAAAGUCAACCUUUGAACCUUUGAAUGAUGUAAUGAAAUGAAUGAUGUCCUGUAUGAUAAAAUGGAAUGCAUGUUAUGCUGAUGAAAAUGAAAAAACUUAGGGUGAAAUUUAGAGUAUGACAGCUGCCCAUAUUUAACUAUCUUGAACAAGAGGAUAUGAAGAAUUGAAUUUUUCAUAUGUUCAUGGUGGAAGGUAGUUAAAUAUAUAGAAGACCAAAAAAAAUUCUGCGUGAAAGAAAUGGAAUGCAAUGUGAUGCAAUGAUUUUGUAUGUGUUUAAUUAGAUUUUAUCUUGUCGGGGAUGUGAAAUGGAAAGCAAACUCAAUGGGGGUGAAAUAAGGUAAGAGAUUGCGAAUUCUCAAAGAUUUUCUUUUGCUGGAGAUAUGAAUGGUAUGAAUAUCAACGAUUUUACAUUCGAGUUAGAAGAGGAUUAAAUAUAAAGUUCCAAAAAUUUGCACUCCAAAGAGAAGAGAUAUGUAGAAGUGUUUAUGAUACUCUUGUGUAUUGCCUCCACUAAUGAACUUUCGCAGGUAUUGAUAGUUGAGAUAUUCCCGCAAAAUUUUUUCUACAAAGUAGAAGAGAAAUAAUUAAGUACUUGCAAAAUGCAAGCAUAAAGGGAACGGGGAUAAUUUGCAAGAGGAAAAUAUUGAUAUUUUCUCAUGCGAAAGGCAGAGUAAUCUUGCAAAAGGAAAUUGAUACUUCAUCGAUGAAUAAAGUUUCUCACGCAAAAGGCAAAGAGAAGACAAUGUGGGGAUUACAAGAAAGACUAAUCAUCAACGCUGCGGUUGGGAGUAUAAAUUGUAUGACGUCAGCAUGGUGAAUGGGCUAUCAUUAGUUCAAGGUUGGAAAGAAAACAUCAAUAAAGACAAGUAUUAAGGGUAGGAUCAACACGUAUGAGUGAUGGAAAGAUAAGGUCAACACGGAUGAGCGUUGGAAAUCAAUACAGACGAGUAUUGAAAGAUGAGAUCUACACGAACGAAUUGUGGGGAUCAAAAUUAGUCAAAAUAGAUGAGUGUUAGGAAAGCAAGGUCAACACAGACGGGUGUUAGCAAGAUAAGAUCAAUACAAAUGUAUGUUGGAAAGUGAUUAACACGGUCGAGUGUUGGAAAUCAAUAUGGACGAGUAUUGAAAACGUAAUAUUAACAAUGACGGGUGUUAGAAAUCAAUACGAACGAGUAUUGAAAAUGUAAGAUUAACACAGACGAGUGUUAGAAAUCAAAGAUCAACACGAACGAGUGUUGGAAAUCAAUACGGACGAAUAUUGGAAAGGUAAGAUCAGCACAGAAGAGUGUUGUAAAUCAAUACGGGCAAGUAUUGAAAAUGAAAGAUUAACAUGGACGAGUGUUGGAAAUCAAAGAUCAACACAGACGAGUGGUUGAAAUUAAUAUAGACGAGUAUUGAAAAGGUAAGAUCAACACGGACGAGUGUUGAAAAUUAAUACGAGCGAGUAUUAAAAAGAUUAGGAUCAACACAGACGGGUGUUGGAAAAAUACGGUCAACAAGGACGGGUGUUGGAAAAAUACGGUCAACAAGGACGAGUGUUGGAAAAAUACGGUCAACACAUACGAGUCUUGGAAAAAUAUGGUCAAUAUGGACGAGUGUUGGAAAAACGGUCAACACGAAUGAGUGUUGGAAAAAUAAGGUCAACACGGACGAGUGUUGGAAAAAUAUGGUCAACAUUGACGAGUGUUGGAAAAAAACGAUCAACCCGAAUGACUGUUGGAAAAAUAAGGUCAACACGGACGAGUGUUUGAAAAAUAAGGUCAACACGGACGAGUGUUUGAAAAAUAAGGUCAACACGGACGAGUGUUGAAAAAAAUAGUCACCACGGACGAGGGUUGAAAAAAAUAUGGUCAACACGGACGAGUGUUAGAAAAAUACGGUCAACAUGGACAAGUGUCGGAAAAAAAGGUCAACACAGAUGAGUGUUGGAAAGAUAUUGUCAACACUGACGAGUGUCGAAAAAAUAUGGUCAACACGGAUGAGUGCUGGAAAAAAGUCAACACUGACGAGUGUUGGAAAAUAUAUAUCACUAUGGUGACUGGAAAAGAAGCAAUGACUUUAGCACGGUAGCUGAAGAAAAAAGAAUAUCAGCAUGGCGCUUGUACAAUAAAAAUGAACUAUUUCAGAGGAAAUUUACUGGGAAUAUCAGUUGGGAGAUUUGUGGGGAUAAUAUUCUCUUCAAGAAAUGUCACUGUCUUGACUGAGAAUUAGUUUGUGCUUUCUAUAAUCAACACAUAAUCUCAUAGAACCUUCUUUCUUCUUGACCAACAGAACAGGUGCACCCCACGACGAUACACUAGGACGAAUAAACUUCUUCUCAAGCAAGUCUUCAAGUUGACUCUUCAACUCUUUCAACUCACGAGCAUACAUUCGAUAGGGAGCCAUCGAUACAAGACUAGUUCCAGGAACUAAAUCAAUCGGAAACUCAACCUCACGUUCUGGCGGUAAAUCACUUACAUCUUCCGGAAAUACCUCCGCAAACUCACAAACUAUUGGCAAUUCUUCAAUCGUCCUCUUCUCACGACUAUCCAAAGUUGCUAACAACAUAAACAACUCGGCACCACCUUGCACUGAUUCAUCAACUUGCUUAGCAGACACAAACCAAUCUUCCUUCGCACCAACCUCGGGAAAAAUAAUCGUCUUCUCAAAACAGUUGAUAUACACCCGAUUAAAUUCUAACCAAUUCAUACCCAAAAUCACAUCAAGUUGCUCUAACGGAAGACAAACUAAAUCAAUUCUAAAAUCCCUACCAAAGAUACUCAACGGACAAUUCAGACACGCAUAGGAAGUGGAAACAGAACCCAUAGCAGGUGUAUCAAUAACCAUACUUCUACGCAUAUCAGAUAAUAUCAGAUUCAAUCUCUUAGCACAAUCCAAAGAAAUGAAAGAAUGUGUUGCACCGGUAUCAAUAAUGGCAGUCAAAGGUGUACCAUUAAUAAAGCAUGUAGCUUGGAUUAGCCUAUCAUCGGUAGUGGCCUCCGCACCAGACAAUGCAAACACCUUUCCCUUCGCUUGCUCCUUCUUCGGCUUAUCAUAUUGGGUACUAAUGUGACCUUUCUCACCAUAAUUGUAACAAGUUCACUCGAACCAACUCCACACUGGUUUGCUCUGUGACCACUCUUGCCACACUUGAAACACGUCACAGGAUCCUUACUACAAUCACCAGCGCGAUGACCUUCAACGCCACAUUUGAAACACUUAAGUGGAGUAGAAGAUCCUCCCCCACUUCUCCCCCUUGGCUUCUUGCAAAAACCACUUGUUCUCCUCACGGUUUCCCACGAUCUUGGUUUUUCCCCUUCAAACUCUUGUAGAAAGAAGCACUUUCCCUACUAUCCUCAUCAUAAAUCCGACUCUUGUUAACCAACUCCGCAAAACGAGUAAUCUAUUGGUAACCAAUGGCCUUCUUGAUAUCAUGUCUCAAGCCAUUCACAAACUUCAAACAUUUUGAUCUCUCAACAUUAACAGUAUUGUAAUGAGGACAAUACUUGAUAAGCUCCUGAAAUCUAGCAGCAUAUUCCGCAACCGUACCAUUUCCUUGCUUCAAUUUAAGGAACUCCACCUCUUUCUUCCCACGACAAUCUUCUGGAAAAUAGUUCUCCAAGAAGACGUCACGGAAAAGAGCCCAAGUAACCUCAAUGCUGUCUUCUUCAAACCUCUGAAGAGUGUUAUUCCACCAAUCUUCAGCUUCCUUCUCAAGCAUAUGAGUACCAAACCGCACUUUCUGAGCAUCAGUACAGUUCAUGACUCUGAAUAUCUUCUCAAUUGCCUUCAGCCAAGCUUGAGCUUUAUCAGGUUCAUGCUCACCCUCAAAGACAGGAGGAUUGUUCCGCUGGAAUCUCCCCAAAGCAUGGAACUCAUCAUCAUCUCCAUUUCGGUUACCAGCAUUCGCUUGAGGGAUCUGACAAAUGGAUUCAGCCAACAUCCUCAGCGCCUCAGCAAUAGCUUCAUCAUUCCUGCCUGCAACCAUCAUCCUGAACAGCCCGGACAACCAGACAAACAGUAUUGAUCGUGUCAGAUACACAAAUCAAAUACAACGGGAUGGAAAACCCUAACGACUAUUGACCAACUGGUCGACCAUGCUUUGAUAUCACUAAUGUAACACCUCUUUUUCUACCCCAAAAUACUUAAUCAUAUAAUCAGAGUAAAUAAGCACACAUAUAAACAAAAGGGCGUCACAUCGAUGUUUUCAAGAACUAAAAGCUUUCAAAAACCAACAUCAUUCAUCAUCAAUACACAAUACACCUGGUCAUUUAAAAUAACACAUUUUCAAUUACCAUGAAUAUUCAAGAAUAUGCGUUCGCAGCGGAAAAUAAUGAAUACUCAUGCAUUUCAUCAAAUGAUCCAUGUCCCAUACCAUGAUCAUCUCUCAAUAAUCUCUUCAAAAUAAACUAAAACCAUAAUUAGAAUAUUUGGCACUAUGGCCUCUCAACAACAAUUACAAAUAAGCAUGUUCACAAGUAAUAACAUAAUACUUAUCCAAAUAGGAUACGAGUUCAAUACUACUAAUCUACCCAGUGUUACAUGACCAGAGCAUUGACUCAUUACCUAGUCUUCAAACUAAAAUACGGAAACCCUCCGGCUAAAUCUCGAAUGAGCUACCUUCCACUUACUUCAGCGAACUACUCCUGAGUAUCUGCACGAUACCCAUGUAAAGGUAACAUUCAAACGAAAGGGUGAGAAUUCAAAUCAUUAUGAAGAAGUAUAAUAAGGCACAAUGAUUAAAUCCACAUUAAAGGAUUCAUCACACUUCGUAUAACCAUGUAAAUAAUAUUAAUAACAUUUAUUUACCAUGUUUCAAACAUCCAUCAAAACUCAAAGAGUAUAAUAUUAAAAUCCAAUACUAUAUUCCCGAAUAUACACAUAGCUAUAAUUAUCACAUAAUCACAUAACUUGCCAAGUUAUGUACUCAAACAUCACCAAAUUCAAUUACCAUAUCUCAUACACACAUCACAAUCACAUCAAUGCAUACUCUCAAUUAUCACAUGACUCUAAUGUGACUCAAUGCAAGACAUGUGACUCUAUGCAUGCGGUACCUCAAUGUGAACCCAACGUUCACCGCUUUCCGAUCAAUAUCUAGAAUCCAAGCCACGCUUCCGAUCCGGACAAGAUCAAAGCCACUACUACGCCGAUUCCAAUUAAGGAUCAACGUAUGCUACGCCUAUUUCCAAUUAAGAUCAACGUCUAUGUGAACCCGCAGUUUCACCGUUUUCCGAUUCAAUAUCUAGAAUCCAAGCCACCUUACUACGCCUAUUUCCAAUUAAGGAUCAACGUAUGCUACGCCUAUUUCCAAUUAAGGAUCAACGUCUAUGUGAACCCACAGUUUCACCGCUUCCACUAUGAAGCCGACCAUGCCAUGAAUGAACGUACAAAUACCAACACAUAUGCAAUUAAGAUUAUCUCUACCAUCUUAAGAUUCCACAUAUCACCAUAAUUCAACUCUAUGAAUUAUCCACCAAUGGUACAUAUACACAUUCAUAACAAUAUAUCAUUCACAAAUAUCGGCUAAUUAUCAAAUACACACACAUAGAUUUCAUUCCAAAACGAAUACAGCAUUUAAAAUCUUAAUUUUUCACUUUUCAAAUAGUGUUAACCGGUUAACGCAUAUGGUUAAUCGGUUAACAUAAAACAGAAUCAAUUUCCUGGCAAUUUUCAACAAUGUUAACCGGUUAACGCAUUUGGUUAAUCGGUUAACGCAAAACAGAACACAAUUUCUAACAGGUUUUCAACAGUGUUAACCGGUUAACGCAUUUGGUUAACCGAUUAACGCAAAAACAGAAUGCUAUUCCUGCGUUAACACAAAACAGAAUGCAGAAUUUUCUGCGUUUUUCAUCGUUGGAGGACUUUCGGACCUCCGAUUUCGAUUCCGUAAAAAGCCAAACAUUCAGAAAAUUAUAACUCAUACAAUACUCUAAGUGUAUAACGUUAAUUUGCAGUUUUAACACAAUCAAAUCACCACAAAUCAAGAAUACUCAUCAAAAUCUAAUAAUUUCAACAACCAUACAAAAUUAAGGAUUUUAACCUAAACAUACUUCUAUCCAUUGACCCAAUCAUACUAACCCAUAAUAAUAAGGAUUCCCCCCUUACCUCUUCAAUUUUCUGGAAACCCUACCUUCUCCCUUGUUCUUCC
rnacentral:lncRNA from 1 species